AGAGGUGACUCAGUGGUUCUGAAUGCUUGAUGCUCUUCAGAAGACAGGAGUUUGGUUCCCAGGAGCCAUAUCGAGUAGGUUACAACCGCCUGUAACUCCAGCUCUAGAGAAUUAAAAAUACAUAAAUAAAAAUAGGCUUUUUCAAAUCCAUAAUGAAAAGCAUGAUUUUUUAAAAUAAAGAUGUAGUCAGUAUAUCUGCAUCUUUAUUUGUCUUUAUCCUCCAAUAUGGUGAUCCGUGCUGUUGGUAUUCUAAGUUCUAUUCCCACAGCUACCUGGCAACAGCCAGGUAUGCUCCGCCCCAGAGUUGCCUGGCAACAGCCAGGUAUGCCUGACUAUAAAAGGGGCUGCUUGCCCCCUUCUCUUUCUCUUGCCCUUACUCUUCUCUGCUCCCAUGGCCUCUUUGUCCCUGUCCCUUCUCUCCCCAUCCCCCACCUCCCCCAUGUGCCUAUUGCCGGCCUUUACUCCUCUCGUCUUCUACUCUUCUUCUCUCAUUAAACCUUUCCAGGUGGAACUGUGUUGGCUUGGUGUGCUUUGUCUAGAAGCAAGCCGAGAUUUAAACCCCAACAUUGGUGACCGUACGUGGUGAUUGAUCUCCCUGUGACUACAUGGCCCGGCCAUCACUGCGGAGAAUAGGCCCUUCCAACUGUGUGCCUUCACUGCCCCGCAGCUCUGGGACCUUGGCUGGCAGAUCCUCGAGGGUGUGGUGUGGAGGGAUGGAGUCACGCUCACCUGCCACUCCUACUGCAUCACCCGCCAGCCCCCAGUUCACCCUGGGCUCACCCGAUGCCGAUGCCGUGGAGGGAAGGAAUGGAGAUGCGUGCUGCUGCCACCCUGCACAAACACCGGCACGUUGGUAGGUUUAUUCCGGUUGGCAAGGAGGAGCCUGAUUUCUCAGAUAGGGCCUGGCCAGCCUUCAUAGGAUUAAAAGUAACCCCUAGCUAACAUACAAGAUAGAACUUCGAUCAUUGGGCGGAGAUUCCCUUGGAAGUGUUUCAUUGCUCCCCUCCCCUCCAGACUCUUGAAGCGGAUCGGAAAAUCCCAGGCCUGGGUAGGAACGCUUUCUGGGGGCUUCCAGGACCGGACGUUUAUGGCCUCCAGGAGUAUAAGUGAUGACUCAGACACCUGGCCUGGCAGAGUGGUACUGUUACCAGUAAAUCCUCCUGGGGCGCGGGUUAGGAUGACUGGUUAACUCCCCCAGUGAGCAAUUCUUGUCUUCAAACAUAUCUCCAGUUUAUGUUUUCUGGAGAAUUUAAAAACUCUAAGAGGACAUCAAACUGAUACACCCUUGCAAUACUGUCUGGACUCAGGACAAUGGUUCAAAAUGGCCACUAAAUUCUUCAAUUUUACGGUAUCUUCACAAUCACUGCCAGCAGUCUGGUAAAUGGAAGGAGGUUCUUUUAUAUCCAAACAUUCAUUUACCUUCGUUCUAACCCCUCUCUGUGUUUCGCUUCCCGUGGCAUCCCGCUGAGGUAACCUGUGUCCCGGGUACUAGCUGGUCAGUCCAGCAGGUCUCCCCUUCCCCAUGAUGCCCUGCAUGCAGCUGCCUGCCAAGGAGAGGGCCCUCUUCAAGCAUGUGCUGGUGAGCGGUACCUAUUCGACCUCUGUGGCCUUUCUAUACCUCAGAGCUUGACUUUCCAUGGUGUAUACAUGGUCUCAGGAGAGCAUUCUUGGAGCUACCCCCAUGCUGCCCCUGGGGAUGGAUCCUUUCACUGACACACAAUCUAGGACCUUUUCCCUUGGGUGAGAUUUUUUCCCUCUCCCCUCUCCCCCCCCCCCUUUUGAGACAGUUGAAAAUGCCAGGUCCAACCCGGACAAACUGCUCUCUGGCUCGGGAGCACCAGCUCUGAGUGUAGCCCCAGCACUGGUCGGGGCGAUUAAUAGUCCCUAGUCUCACCCAUGGGUCUAUCGGUCUUUGCCCCCCCUGUGAAAAGCAGGUCUGGCCCUGUCCCUUGCAUCCGCCAGGGACUCUGUCUGUGAGACUAGCUUUCCCAUGACUGUGGGACCCCUACACUUGGCACAGUCUCUCGAGUGGGGCUUCUGUGCUCUGCCUGCCACUGCAACCCCUGGUUCUCAGCAGCAGGAAAAGAGAAUCUGGCACUGACCUUUGUACCCUGCCAGGGAUUCUGCUUGCUAAGACCCCAUGCAAAUGAACUCUCUCUUUCUGUCUGGGACUCUGCUCCUGUGUUCAGCCCGCCACAGCCUUGAGAAAAACAGCUUUCACGCUGUCUUUUCCAGAGUGCUCACACCGCCACCUGUGCACCAGAGCCUCAGCUGCGCAUGCCUGCGCACAUGUGCUCGUGCCUCUCCCUUGCUUUGCAGAUUUUUUCAUUCCUACCCUGUCUUAACAUAGGAUCCUUACUAAUAAUUUACUUCCGGAGGAACACAGGUGAGUUUGGGAGCAGGUGAGAAUGCAUGCAGAGGAACAUACCCAGUUUGGUCUGAGGCAGUACCUGACCAAGAUCCCUGAGGGAAUUAUAGUUCCACAGGUGGUAUUUUAGCCAGAGAUGGAUUCAUGACCUGUGUCCUGGCUAUAUUUGCAGGGCAGUCUUAAAACCAGUGAGUUUUGAAAAACUACAAGAGGUUAUCCAGGAAAAAACAGGAAAACCCAUCCCAAGUUUUAGAAUGCCUUACAAAGGCUUUAUUACAAUACACUAACCUGGACCCUGAAAAUCCAGAAGGUAAGCAAUUUCUGAUGACCUAUUUCUUUUCCCAGAGCUACCCCGACAUAAAGGACAAUUUAAAAAGCCGGGGAGGGGGGUGCGUUGCAGGGGGCUAACUCCACAGGCAGAAGUUUUGGCGCUGGUCUUUAAAGUGUACCAUGGGAGAGAUGAGAAGGCUCACAGACAAAAUACCAUAUGCUGGCGAAGGCUGUCCGACCAGCCUCAGCCACUGCCCAGAACGCCUGGUCUUCUAGGGCUAGAAGACCACCAGGUUCCUGUUACAAAUGUGGUCAACAAGAUUACUGGGCAAGGUCUUGCUCUAACUUCUGCAAGUCAAGGGACCAUCAAGAGGCACACUGGCCUGUCAAUUGCCCUCAUGUUGCACAGGACAGGCGGACAUCACGUCCAGAUAACCCUCCAGGGGAAUCUUCUAGGCUUAGCUAUGGAUGACUGAAGGGGCCUGAGUUCCCUGGACCUGGUCAAUGCCAUCACUAGCAGAGCUCUGGGUAACCAUCAUGGUAUGUGGGCAGCCCAUCUCUUUCCUCUUGGACACUGGGGCCAUUUACUCAGUCCUAAUGGAGUUUUGGGGACCCACUUCUCUCUCCUGUUUCCCCAUUGUUGGGCUAGGGGAGGGUAACCUUACCUUUCUCACCAAACCCAACCGCUUAGUUACAUUUUUAGGGGUGUACCUCUCACCCAUUCCUUUUUGGUAGUGUCAACAUGCCCUGUCCCCUUAUUGGAAAGGGAUCUUCUAGCUAAGAUGGGAACCUCUGUUGUGUUCUACCCAUUUGCCCAAACUCAAGCUCGCCUGCAGCCCUUCUGCUUCUUCUGGCCAGUCAACCUACUAACACGGACAUGCUGCUUCCUUUACCAGCUUCUCAGGUAGACCCCUGAGUCUGGGAGGUCCAGAACCCCUCUGUUGCUAAACAGUCUUUCCAAAUAGGGUCUGGAAACUGCUUUCUCUAUCUGUCUUUUUGUCGUGGCAAACUGUUUUAAGACAUCCAGGACAUGUUCUGUAGGACAAAUUCUUCCUUCUGCUCCACAAAAAGCUUAUCGUAAAGAAGGUUCAUGUUGUUAACUCAUGUUGCUAUCUCUUUUGUAAACUUAUAAACUACAGGAAACUCACUCAGACCUACCUCUCAUGGACCAAAUAGACUCCACCCAGAUUAGCACAUCUGCCCAAAGUUACCACUGAUUACCUAUUCCAAAAGGUGGGAUUCCUCUGGGUUUCAAAUGUACAUCUAAGGGAAAAAUUUCUUUUCUCCCAAAUGCACUUAAUGUUAUUCUCUACCUAAGUGUGUGUGUGUGUGUGUGUGUGUGUGUGUGUGUGUGUGUGUGUGUGCAUGUUCUACCAUGAUGUUCAAUCUCCUCUCACAGACACAGAUGCUUCUAUUGGACCUGUUCCUUCUGACCUGUCCUCAGAUGGUUCAACAGACCCUGGACAACAAGGAAACAGCCAACUCCUAAUACUGGACAAACAUCCCACACCCAUUUUUCUAGGUUCCCUAGAGACACGUCGCCCCAAAGCAAGCAGGAAGUAGUUAGAGAUCACGACGACCCUAUUCCUGCUCCACCAUCACCUUUCUAAUUUUUCUUUUUAAUUAAACCAAAACUCGGGGAUGCUGGUAUUCUGUCUAAGCUCCACCCCCACAGUUGCCUGGCAACAGCCAGGUAUGCUCUGCCCCACAGUUGCCUGGCAACAGUCAGGUAUGCGGGACUAUAAAAAGAACUGCUUGCCCCUUCCUCUUUCUCUUGCCCUUACUCUUCUCUGCUCUCAUGCCCUCUUUGUCCCUGUCCCUUCUCUCCCCAUCCCCACUUCUCCCCACGUGCCCAUAGCUGGCCUUUACUCCUCCCGUCUUCUCCUCGUCUUCUCUCAUUAAGCGCCUCCCUCCACGUGGAACCAUGUCGGCUUGGUGUGCUUCGUCUGGAAGUGAGCCGAGAUUUAAACCGCAACAGCUGCUACACAGGCCGUGGGACUCUGUUUCUGAGAUUCUCCCUUCAUCAUGGUCUUUCUGACCCACACUGGCUGCUUCUUUGCUUGUGUAGAACACAGGGAUUCCCCAAGCGACAAUGUCCUCAAAAGUCUUCAGUGUGCUCUCUUCCUGCCUAAUGUAUGUUCUCUUCGUCUUUAACACCAGCACCCAGCCAUUCCUGCGCACAGGCCAGAUGCAUUUCUGUUCAAGGAAAUACAACACAAAUGUUCCUUUAGCUUCGUUUCCAAGAUCAGGGCUCUAGAAGUAAUAGAGAGCAUCCUCAGAUGGCUGUGUGCACAGCCUUGCCUUCCCAACACAGGGCAGAAGAAAUCGCCAACUGGGGCUUCAACUUGACCUACAAGUGAACUCCUUGUAAGGCUGGAAUCCUCUUGUAAGAAUUUUCACCCCUACCAAAUGAAAAAGUGAGGGUUUUUUUUCUUUAUUUUUAUCAAAACUGAAAACCCAGUUGGUCCCUAGAAUACCAAGCCACAGUGCUGUAGGCAAAGGAUAAUAAAUUCAUAAGCUAAUACAUACCAUCUAUACAGUAACUUACUGUUUUCAAAGUACUUUCCCAAAUUUUGGGAGAUUUCACUUUAAAAACAAACAAACAAACAAACAACAACGACAAAAAGGAAAACAAUUUUAGAAAAGUAAACCAGAAGUUCACAAAAAGUAACAUCUGACGCUGACUUGGUGACAGGGCAAGGCUCAUUGGGCACCUAUGGAAACUUUCCUAAAGUGACUUGAAGUUGCAAGGAGUAAAACCAUUCAUCUGAAAUGACAUUGAAGUACUAAGUCGAACAGAGUUUUGCCUAAGAACAGAUCUCUUCAUCUUGUGCUGAUGACUGAGACUUUCUCCUCCUGUUUUCCAAGCUGCCCCAACAUCAACCUGGGCCUUUUUUUGCCCACAGUGAGAGCUGUGGGAUGUCAGAUGAAGGAGAAAGGCCGAUCGAUGGCAAAUUUCACCCUGCAGCUCUCCAUUAAGAUGGGGCACACUCCACGCACGCACGCACGCGCGCACGCACGCACGCACGCACGCAUGCGCUUGGUCAGUCUGGAGUCCCUUGGCCAUGUAAGCUGAGCUUAAUUCCACCCUACCCUCACGGACCUUGUUCAGCUGCCCCUGUCAUUCUUAAUUAACCCCAGUGAGCCUGGUAUUUUUAAUCGUUUGCCACCUGUUUUCAAACACCCUUUUUUAUCUUAGCCCAGCUGGUACACCACUCUUUUCAACCCUUCCUAGUUUUUGCUUCCCACUUUUUGAGCUGCUUUGUUUCGGUGUUCAGUUUCACUGAACGUUGAGCUGGAUAGGAACUCCAACUCUUGCCUUAUUUCAAGUGAGUCUGACCUCGGACAUUUGAGACAUGGGAAGACCUGGGACAGCCAAAGAGAAAGGCUGACCUGCCGCUAUCUCUCCGUCUAUCAGCCAGGAAAGAGGGCUUGAGACAGUCUGGGGGAGAGGUGGAGUAUUACAGUGGUUUUCUUUCACCAAAAACGACAGUGGGACUUUUUGCUUGAAACCACAUGUGAGACUUGCUUACACAAAUUUUUUUCCAGAAUAUUUAUUUUUCUAUGGCAACUCCCGGCUAACAAAAUAAAAAUAUGCAGAGGCUGA